rnacentral:tRNA from 1 species
CAGAGAGUAGUUUAAUGAAAAUUUUCGCUUUGGGGGCGAGUGAUGAGGUGUGCGCCUUCUCUUUGA